rnacentral:tRNA from 1 species
GCCCGAUUAGCACAAUGGUAAUGCGGCUGCUUCGUAAGCAGUUAAUGGGAGUUCGAUCCUCCCAUCGGGCU